GAUGAACGCUGGCGGCGUGCCUAAUACAUGCAAGUCGAGCGAAUGGAUUAAGAGCUUGCUCUUAUGAAGUUAGCGGCGGACGGGUGAGUAACACGUGGGUAACCUGCCCAUAAGACUGGGGUAACUCCGGGAAACCGGGGCUAAUACCGGAUAACAUUUUGAACCGCAUGGUUCGAAAUUGAAAGGCGGCUUCGGCUGUCACUUAUGGAUGGACCCGCGUCGCAUUAGCUAGUUGGUGAGGUAACGGCUCACCAAGGCAACGAUGCGUAGCCGACGUGAGAGGGUGAUCGGCCACACUGGGACUGAGACACGGCCCAGACUCCUACGGGAGGCAGCAGUAGGGAAUCUUCCGCAAUGGACGAAAGUCUGACGGAGCAACGCCGCGUGAGUGAUGAAGGCUUUCGGGUCGUAAAACUCUGUUGUUAGGGAAGAACAAGUGCUAGUUGAAUAAGCUGGCACCUUGACGGUACCUAACCGGAAAGCCACGGCUAACUACGUGCCAGCCGCCGCAGUAA
rnacentral:rRNA from 1 species